GAUGAAGAACGUAGCGAAAUGCGAUAAGUAAUGUGAAUUGCAGAAUUCAGUGAAUCAUCGAAUCUUUGAACGCACAUUGCGCCCGCUGGUAUUCCGGCGGGCAUGCCUGUUCGAGCGUCAUUUCAACCCUCAAGCUCUCCGGAGUUUGGUGUUGGGGCGCCUGGGGCUUUUCGACCUCAGGGCCCUCAAGUCCAUCGGCGGGACCGCCAGGACACUGAGCGCAGUAGUAUGAUUUCGCUCGGUAGGAUCUUCCACGGCGGGUCGAUCUGGCCGCUAAACCCCCCAAUUCUCACCAAAGGUUGACCUCGGAUCAGGUAGGAAUACCCGCUGAACUUAAGCAUAUCAAUAAGCGGAGGA
rnacentral:misc_RNA from 1 species